AUGAAGAACGUAGCGAAAUGCGAUACUUGGUGUGAAUUGCAGAAUCCCGUGAACCAUCGAGUCUUUGAACGCAAGUUGCGCCCGAAGCCUCGGCUAAGGGCACGUCUGCCUGGGCGUCACGCAUCGCGUCUCCCCCAAACCGCCAAGGCGGAGGGGAAGGAAGAUGGCUUCCCGUGCCUCACCCGGGCGCGGUUGGCCUAAAUUUGGAGCCCGCGGCACUUAGCUCUCGCGGCGAUAGGUGGUGAACAAGGCCUUGGCCGUGCAAACAACCCGCUGCGAAGCUCUAUGUCACGUGCGCUCGUCGGACCCUUUGAAGUUGCCUUUGGUGACUUAAAACCUUUGCGACCCCAGGUCAGGCGGGGCUACCCGCUGAAUUUAAGCAUAUCAAUAAGCGGAGGA
rnacentral:misc_RNA from 1 species